CGCUUUCUGUCCACAACCUGUCAUAAGUUGUGGCGCUGAUGGCGAUUGUAGGCUCGUCGGGGCUUUGUGGGUAGCGCUAGAAACGUCAUCAGCGAGAGCCCUCCCAUACAAACGAAAUUUCCGUGUGCACAGUGAUAAAAAGCAAUUGAAUUUGCUAGGCAACUGAUUAGCCAGGCGGCAGCUGUACAUACAUACAAACAUAUGUACACAAGUAUAGCCAGAAAGUGAGUAGCAGAGCGAGUGAGUGAGUUAACUAGUGAGCGCGUAUGUAGUGUCAAUGGUCAUUGCUGAAAUCAGCGAAAGCAGACAAAGCACCACGCAGUGGGCAAAAGAAAAUAUGUACGAAUAGACUGCAGCUGCUGAAAGACAUUUCAAACGUCAAUAAGGCUAAAUAAAGAACUGCAUAAAUAGCAAGUGAGUUAACAAACGCAAAAAUUUUCUUUGUACAGUGCCUCAAGAAAGAAAUCGAACAAAGCAUGAGUUUAAAAAAACCCAGCAAUGUG